CGACCCAGACGGGAAUCGAACCCACACCUACCGCUUCCCGAGCAGCUUCUACCGAUUACCCCAGCGGGGC